CUGAGUUUGCAAUUCUUCCGGAACUGAUGGGGGCAGCAAAUACAUGUAAGCGUUUUAGUCGGUCCAGAAGUGGUAAAGAAGAAGAAGAACGCCUACAGGCACACGGGAAAAAACUACAGAAGAUGGCGACAAUUUUAGCUCCGCCCUGACUGGUUGAGAGGAAAGAUGGAAGGAGUCAAAUAUGGAAAUACUUCGCAUUUGAAGCGGAUGACAACAAACAUAUAAUUGAUUGAAUCUCGGAUGCAUUUAAGGGAGGCUCAUGCUCACCAGGAACUCACCAGGAACACCUGUACACCUGCUCAUUUAUGCGGUUAUCCAAUCAGCCAAUCCUGUGGCAGUAGCACAAUGCAUAAAAUCAUGCAGAUUCAGAAUCCAAAAGUCCAGGGAGACGAGAAUACCGGAAAGACACCCAAAAUGGAGCAAUGCCAUAUUAAAACACAGUCUCGUGCUGCCCUCUACUGUUGCAGAGUUAUAUAGCAAGUAUAUUUCCUUAAUUGAAUAAAAGCAGUAAUCACGUCCACUGCAUUUUCGCGGCACUCAGCCCCCUCACUGUUUUGUACCUUCACAUGCCUUGAAUUGAGCCUGAGACUCACAAUCACAGAUAUCUGAGGGGAAACAAAGCACACAACUUAUUAAAGAUUAAUAGCGUUUUUGAUGGUAUUGAUUAUAUUAGGAUUGAUUCAGCGGUGACGCAACUAGUCCCAGUUAACCUGCGUAGGAACCAAUCAGAACUAAUGCGUUGUACGAAGUCCGUGACGGACGUUCACGUUGGGUUUAGAGAGAGUGAAUUCGCUAAAUUAGAAAGCAGACUGGAUGUAUCAAGAAGGGGAGCCCGCUUGGUACCCGAGGCUCUUGUGUUCAGAAGAUGCUCCUGGAAUGCUAGGUCGCAGUCAGAGCUUCAUUCUUUAGGGACAGACUCACAGACACGGGUGACCUUCCUCUCUCUUCAUUUGGGAUAACGGAUCUGCAAUUAGGACACGUUUCUGUCUGUAGCGUUUGGUAUCCUGCUGCAAGUUGAUUACCCACUUCUGAAAGUGUCUUAGUUCUGGUAAACCCAAGGGAACUAGCACUGCCAUCAGUAAUCUUAGCAUCUUCAUUGUACAUUUUUUUAAAUCUACAAUAGAAGUCAGGUUGUUGGCCAGUUGUAGGAUUUCCACAGAGUGUGGGCAUGACUUUUUUGUACUUUGUAAAGGCCUUUCCACACUAAUGUAGCGUCCAUGGCUGAGAAUUACUCCUUCAACUUUUCAGAGAAGCAUCUUUUGGCUGCUCUAAUCCCCUAUAUCAGUGCAUUCUGUGCCUUGUUGUACAGAGUCCUGUU